CCCAGGCCAGGAUAGCCCAUUAACUCUUGGAGUCUAUGCCGCAUGUGGGCCUGAGAGCGUGAAAAAUACUGUUUAAUAGAGUUGCUUAAAGCACGUUUUCCAGAGAACACAGGCAGCUGAGCAAAAUCGUUAAGAAGUUGGAGUCAAGCAGGUGCAAGUUCCAGUGCAGGCUCCGCGAGCACACCUGGUACCCUCCUGGAGCCACUCUGCAGGGUGGGACCCCGACACAGUGUAGGAGAAAGCUGCCAGCACUGGGGCUGGGAAAAAAAGGCACAUACGGUGAGAUGGAAAAAAAAAAAGGUGCUGGCUAAGUCGCAGGGUGGCUGGGAGCCACAUCUCACCAUGAGGACACUGCCACCUGCCCUGUGGGCCCAGGGUCUCCAUCUCUUGCAGUUACUCUGGCUUCAGUGUCCCAGGGACUCUGGGCAGAUGCGUGUGAUUGGGGAGGCUGGGUCAUGUCCCUCCCAGUGCUGCAAGGAAGGCUGAGGAAGCGAGUCCCUGGCAUCUUUAUCUGGUGUGGGAGGGGCCAGCCUCCCACCGAGACACAUGGGGGAGAAAUUCUGCCAAACAUGGGAAGGUGGUGGAGAGGUGGUUCAGAGUGACAAGUGCACGGAGGUAACGCCCACUUCAGAGACAGAAAGAGCCUGGCACGUGGGGGAUGUGCGAGAAAGGCUGGCGCUCGCGGUCUUCCUCCUGUGGGAGCUGAAGGAAGAAGCAAGUCACAAAGGUGUCUCCCCUGGAACAAGACAACAGGAGCAGCGGGUCAGCCAUCUGACGGACACUCAGCCUCGCCUUGGCUUCAGACAUCAGGGGCACAGACAUGUUUUGGAGAGAGGUGUCCAGGAUCCCAGAGCCGCCUGAGGACUUGCUGUCUGAAGCACCCGGGUCCUGGGAGCACUCGGCCCAGGGACGGCUGGCCUCCCUCUGCCUGGGUCAGCCCACCGGCUCAGGCACUGUGCCUUCUGGACAGCACCCCUGGCUCUUCCCACCCCGUGGGACCUGGACUUGCAUGAAAGAGUGGGAGAAGAGCCACGAGUUUGGUCCCUGGUCCCACAGCCACAGGCUGGUGGCUGCAGAAAGGAGACUGAGGCACUUCAGGGAGAUGCUCGACCCGAGUCUGGAAGCCCACAGAACUGCGAUGGAAGGAAAUGGAGGCACGGCUGCUUUCCGUGCUCUAAAUGAGCAAAUGUUUGGAACGAGGGUG
rnacentral:lncRNA from 1 species